UGGCCCCCGGCCCCCGGCCCCCGGCUCCCGGCUCCCGGCUCCCGGCCCCCGGCCCCCGGCUCCCGGCUCCCGGCUCCCGGCUCGGCUCGGGCUCCGCUGGCUCCUGUGGCUCAGCUCGGCCGGCCCCGGCUCCCCGGCUCCCCGGGAGGCUUCCAGUGAUGUCACUCACCGCCCUAACCUGCUGAGGAUUUAAAGGCGCAGGGCCCCUAUGCCUUAUCGGGCGCAGAAAGGCUGCAGAAGGGCUCUCUUCUUUUGGCCCCGUCUCUUGUACAUGUGCUGGAGUCAGUGUCUGUUUUGGAUUGUGGCUUCUGGGAGAAGAGACUGAGGCUUCAGGAUUCUCUUUGUACUGAGUACCAUGGGCCAGCAUGGCAUUCUGCUGGCAUGGAUGGAGAUGGCAAAUGGCAUGCAAAUGAGAGCCUGCUGAAGGGAAGGGCCUGCCAGCUGCUCCACAGAUUGCUCCGGCUCCCGUGAUGGGGAUGUUGAAGGUCGUGGGAUUGGCAGCCCAUCAGUCAACAAGCCUGGAACUGAAGGCCUGUUGUUCAGCUUGUCCAAAUGCCCCAUUUUACAGAUGAAGAAACUAAGGUCCGGGGAGAUGGAGUCACUUUCCCCAAGGCACACAGGUGGUCAUCCCCAGAGGAUCGUGGCACCUCAGACCAAGAAGAGACCUGCUCGGCCAUCUGCUCCCUCCCACACCUGAACAAACAGCCAAUACACAGUAUCCGUGGCCUGUAGAAAGCUAGUUUUUGCUUCUCUCCUCCAGGUAGUAGGAGUCACUCACCUCCCCUUUUACUUCGGGAUAGGCUUCAUCACUGGGAAUUCCCCGCCCCCCCCAUGUUACAAUUAAAUUUACUUGUUGACACGACUGGGAAAUGCCAGUACAUGCCCUACCUUCUAAGCUCAGAAUUGAUCCCCCGAGUCCUCUUUCUCCUCCCUAAUCAGUCCUCCACAGAGGGGCCAAAUUGACGUUCCUACAGUUCAAGUCUGGUUGUGCCCUUCUCUUGCUCACAGAACUUCAGAGUCUCCUUCUGGAUUUAAGUACACUCUCUCCCGCCAUCUGAAUCUGAAUCCCUCCCCAGUCUGGCUCUAGGUGACCCGUCCAGGCUCAGCACACAUGUCUGCUCUGCACACACUGUGUUAGUGUUGGUGCCCAGUACUCCCCAUACAAUGCAUGACCUUCCACCCCCAUUUCUGGACCUUUACACAGCCUGUCCUCUGCACUCCAAAUACACUACCCUGCUUACUUUUGCCUCAGAAUCCAUGGACCCCUUCGAGGGUCAGCUGAGAUACCAACUUGUAAGAGGCCUCUUCUAGAAAAAGGGAAGCAAUUGAUAGGGGUGGGGGUGGAGGUUGGAUCAUUUCAUCAAAAGUCUCUGCAAAGUGUCUUCAAUCCAAGAUAUAAAGGGUACUCACAUAUGAGACCAAUAGUAAUGGAUAGCUGCUCAAAGGAUGUAAGCAAAUAGUUCUCACAAGAAGACUUGUAAAGUACUAAAAAUUGCUCGAAAUCACUAAUGAAAGGAGACAUAUAAACUGAAACAGUUCUAAGGUUUUAUCCCUGUUCAACAAAUUGGAGAUGAUGAAAAUGGGAAUCAUCAAUGUUGGUGGGGCUGUGGAAAACUAGGUGCACUGGUACAUUGUUGAUAGAGCUAUGAAUUGGUCCAAACAUUUUGGAAAGGAAUUUAGAAUUAUGCAAAUAAAGCGUGCCUACCCUUUGGACUCUAGAUUCUA
rnacentral:lncRNA from 1 species